AAAACUUGUUGACUGGUGAUGGUAGAGAUCAGUAAUUUAACCUGAUAGCAUUUACCGACAGAAGAUAAGAACUUCUUUUCUUACUUUCAUGUUGACUAAUUAUGAAGUGGCGGUAGCUUCCUCAAAUUGCAAGCUAAUCUAUGCUUUCUCCUGCACAAAAUUCAAUAAUGUAAGUAGAAAGGCAAGUAAGAAAACUAACCAACAGUGUCCAUCUCCGGAGUUAACAAUUAGGACCUCACCCACUGUGUCAGGAGCUCUGCCAACUCCCACAAUACAGUGUGUACGCUUGGAAACACUCCCACCAGCCCCGUUUAUGAUCUAUUCAAUCAAAGCCAGUUGGCAAUUACCCAGGGAAAGUGUUUCUUACAAGCCUUUACUAAUGUCUAUUAUCUUCUGUAAUCAUCUCUCUGGGGCCUUCCUUGCUCUAUUACAGUCAUACGCUGCCUACUUCUCCUUUCCUGUAAUUAGGGAUCAUGAUGCUCUCAGGGUCAAAAUACUCGAUAUUUUGAGGCAAAUACCUGUCAAAAUAAAGGUCUGGUGAUUAUAGGAUAUACUGACCAGCUAAGAAUAGCUUUGUAUCCACACACUUACAAGUUCAAUUUUGCCUUGAUGGCUUCAUCUCAUUCUCUACAAGGGCUGGGAGACAAUGCAGAAAUACAGGUGAACUGAGGGACUUAACACAGGUUCCCACACUCAGCAGGGGUGCUGCAUGACCAGACCUGAGUCUUGGGUUUCAUGAAGAAAUGUCUUCAUGGCAGGAACCUGACUUGAGAAAAAUACCGGUCAGUGCCGGAAGAUGCUGACUCUAGUUUACAACAUCAAAGAAAUGAGUUGGAUUUAUUUUGAAUUUAGGAAUCUGUUUUCUUAACAGCAAGGAUCUGGCAAUGUUUAUAAACAAUUCUUUAAUGUUCUAUUUGCCUCUGACGAGGACACAGAUGGACACUUGAAUUUUAGAUCAACAGAGAAAACACACAGUUUUGGAACAUAUUCUUAGAGCUACUAUUCUUUUGUGUUCUAAAACCAUUAGGAAAGUGUAGUCUUAAUCCUUUGCAGUAACUUCCAGAGUUGCAGGGAGGAAAGUUCAACUCCUCCCUUCUCCCUGCCUGCACCUCCCUCAUCCCUCCUGAUCAAAGACUGUGGUAAGUUCUCUUUGAGCCAAGUUUCUGGAAACUGUUGACUCAGCACCAUGCCGCUCUUGAGCUUCCAGUCUUGAGGCAUUCUAGGCCGAGUGGAAAGGACUCCUGGUCUCUACCCACACUGGACUUACAUCUGCCACUCCCCACAGAAUUUAUCAUUUUCUCUUUUCCACAGGAUCACAAGGGAAAAAGGGCUAAAGAAAAUUUAGGAGUCAAUAGUAGGUAUGUGGAGGGCAAAACAUCUCCAAAAGCCCACAUUGCCAAUGCGACUCUUUAUGCAAAUUGAACAUGAGGAAUAUGAAAUUUAGAUUAAGAAAUGAAAAUUUCAGAUAAUCAUUUUUCUACUUCUGGUAAAUGAAGUACAUUCUUCAAAAGUGUUAAUCAUUACAGAGACAUACAAUUUUUCUCCCUUUCAAUUCCUUUUCAGGUUUGCUGCCUAUGAACCUCAUAAAACCCCCAUGAGUCACUGAAAAGUUAAUAUUCCCAUUUCAUAGAUGAGGAUUGUAAGAGAACUCUCUCACAAAAACGAAUCCUUUAGUGCUCUUUCAAGUGACAUAAAGUAUAACUCGGAGGUAAUGAUGACUUUGAAAAUGUAUGAGAAACAAAUGCUGGAUAGAGCAUCUCUGAAUAUUUAUUCUAGACACGUUUUCUGAGCUCUGGAAACAGAUAAAAAUGAUGCUUCUCAUCUUUCAGGGGUUCUCUAGCCAGGCCAAUCAGGAUGCAGUGUGGUAGUUGUGUGUUUCGAAAACUAUUUUUAAAUAAGAAAAGACUGGAGAAAAUGACCCUGGUAUGGGGCUCAGAGGGUAAAGGUUUCAGCUAAGAAAAUGGGACAGGCUGAAGAUGACGGUGGGGGCUCAAAUAUCUAGGCUGAAGGUUUGAGAAAGCAUGUGUCUCAUGAAGAAGAUCAUCCCAGGCAAUUCUUUUUUUUUUUUACUUAUUUUUUAUUUCCUUACCUUAGUAGGAAGAAAAUACAUGUUUGGCCAAAUCCAGCAUGGCCAGUUCACAACCCCUUAAUACUAGGUUUUUCUGCUACUGGCUUCAUGUGAAAUGAAUGUUUCAUUUGACUUGGAACUCCCGAACCACAGAAGGUUUUUAUUUUAUUUUUAUUUGUUUGUAUUCUCUCUCUCUCUCCUCUCUCUCUCUCUCUCUCUCUCUCUCUCUCUCUCUCUCUCUCUCUCUCUCUCUGUGUGUGUUUGCGUGUGUGUGUGUGUGUGUGUGUGUGUGUGUGUGUGUGUGUGUGUGUGUGUGUGUGUGUGUAAUCUCCCACUGAGGCACACUGCAAAUAAAAACACAAGGUAAAACAUAAAACCAACAAAAACUUUUCUCAGGAACAUACAUAAACCAAUAACUUUUACCUCUCAGUUCUCUACCAAAGUAACUGCCCCUUCGAAAUUCAUUUUCCUAGGUGUUAGAAAUAUAAAAUGAAUCUCUCCAAAAGGAAGACGAUAAGAUUGCCAAGUUUGCCUAACACACAACCUUGAGACUGAAAGAACAGAGGAGACCUUGAUUUUAAUUUGGCAACUUGCACCCGAUAAAAGAGGAGACAAUAAGCUUUAAAACAGCAACAACGAAACCCACAGCUCUCAAUGUGACUAAUCGGAACUUGUGUAAAAACACUUUUACUCCUUAAAAUAAGGAUCACAUAGUUGUAUGGUUUGCAGCUGUGAAGUAUCACGACUAUUUUCUACGUUAUUUAAUUUUCAUCGUGGAUAAAAAUACAUAUUUUUGGCACUGAUUGCAAUUCUGUACUUAUAAUUGCUUUUUGGUUCCAAUUAGCUCACAAAAUUCCCCCAGUGGCACAUUUGGGUAUUCAUAAAUGACAAUGGAGCAAAUAAAACCCCAUGAUCUAGGACAGAGGAUCCUCAGAGCUUUUAGUCUAAGAAGAAAACGGGGUUGGGGAUUUAGCUCAGUGGUAGAGCGCUUGCCUAGCAAGCGCAAGGCCCUGGGUUCGGUCCCCAGCUCCGAAAAAAAAAAAAAGAAAAAAGAAAAGAAGAAAACACAUGGGGAGUACUGUAUUAUAGCAGAAAUCAGAGAUGGUACAUUUCCUUGCCUCCUCUCUUCUCACCUCCCCCCCCGCCUUUCUUCCCCUCUUUCUCCUGCCUCCCUACCUCUUCCCUUCCCUCCCUCCAGCUUCCUCUGAUUUCUGAUAAGUAUAAUCUGUAUAGUUUCUGGGAAAACAUUUCUCAGACGAAAAAGGCCAGCCCACCAUGAAUGACUCUCUGUCUUUACAUAUCGUAUUACUUAAAAGCAACAUGUUGUCACCCGUGAGAUGGUGUGAACAGAAAUGUUCUGGGUGUUGUUAGCCAACAGCCAGGCCUUACACCUGCAUCAGGAAAUGCAGCCCUAAGUGGCCAGUUUCCUACUUGCUAUGCAUUUCAUUUGAAGACAAUUUUAUAUAGCUUUCAAGAAAAAAAAAGGAAAGACAAAGGAAGAAAGAAGGCGCUGCCAAAAUGAAUCCCUUAGAAUGGGAGACAGAACAGCAUGCAUUUUCACAGCUCAAUUGACAAUUCAUUGUUUGAAAGACGUUAUAAUGAAAAUGCGGAGAGCCCACUUACUUCAAUAGAAAUUACUGUUGUGAUCAUAAGAAUACGCAGGAGACUAAUAUCUAUUCAAAGACGCAGAGUCCCCGAUCCAUCCUGGAGGGUAAUUUGUAUGCUCUGGGCAUGGUGUGUGUUGAAAACAUGACAGUCUACAAUGAGAUCUGACUUUCUGCAUUAAUGAGUGAAGUGACUCACUUGAAAGAGAAAGCAGUUGAGAAAGCAAAAUUUCUUGAAAAUGUACAAAUAGGCCAAAGCUCUUAACGAGUACAAAAGUCCUUUUAAAAGUUCAAAUGCAAAUUCAUUGUCGGUAAGUACUUCAGACUUUAAUCUACAGGCUAAACUCUGUGAGUGUUUUUCAAAAUAGAAUUUCCAAAACCUCUUAGCAAAAAACCCUCAAAACAAUGCAUUCUUUAUCCUGACCAUUCAGAUCAUGAGGAUUAGAAACUGGAGGGGUUGUUUCUGGUCUUUCCAAUAUGAAACACACUGGGAAACACUGUAGGUAAUUUUUAUGUUAUUUGGAUGGAUGACUAAAUAGGUGGACAGACUAACAGGUCUGUCUAAUUGGCUGGGUACUGUUUAGUGACUACAAUACAAUAUUAUUGAUUUAUUUUACAGUGACCACUGUCACUUCCACUUUCUGUGUAAUUAAACUGGAGACUUUGGACUUCUCUGUUUUUCGGCCAUCACACUGGUAGGUGUCAGCCGAUAAAACUCAGCCCAUGAAACUUGGAUUUCCUAAAUUCUAACAUAGGAAAUGAAAAACACUCAACUUGCUUCUCGAGUGCUAAUUAUGUGUAAUCUCCAAUGAGAUGGGAUAAGAUACCAGAAGAGGUGUUUGAAACUAUACUCUUGAAGCAAUGUUAAAAUGCAAUCCCUUAGAGGAACUCACACGGUGAAGGGUGCAAGCCACUAACUAUAUGUUCUCUACGAGCAGCAAAAUGGACAAAGUAUGUAAACGGAGACCCUGUAAACAUAUGCACACAUGGAGAGCUUUAAAACAACCCAAUCUUUAUAUCUGAGAACCAACAAGGAGGAAAUACCCUACUGUUGUGCUUAUUAAAUAAAACAUGAAAUUAAACUGGCCGGUUUUCUACUGUGAACCUUCCAUAUGUCCAGUCGGUAACACGAAAGUUUAUUUAUUCAUGACAGCCUACUUGAGGACUUUGCAACAUCUUUAGUCAUGCUUUAAAAAUACAGAAAACAAAUAUGUCAAUUUCAGUCUGAGGUAUGGGGCAAGUGUAAUUUUAUUAUAUGCUGAUAGUUCGAAAACACUCCCCUUAUUUAGUAUCUAUCAUAGCCAAAGUAAUUGAGUCCAUUGGAACACCUUGGCUUUUUGGCAAUGAAUAAUAGGUUGGUUUUCAACCAAUGAGCACAUAAUGAGCUGUACGUAGUGCCAGAAUUACCAUGGAAUCUUACCAAGUUGAUCAUGUACUCAGUGGCUCACAUACAAUUGAUUUGGGACUUAAUGCAACCCUGGAUUCAAACCAGGCCCACUGUAUCCUGAUCUUUGGGAAUAGGGCUGUAUGUUGGUAUUAUAAAGCCCCCCACCAGUGAUUUUGAUCAGUUUUAUGAAUACUACUCUUGUCUGUCCACCUCAUGUGAUACCUAGAAUUUAGCUACACAGUAAUUAAAAGCCAUUAUCCAAGCCAUACAGCUAUUUGGCCCCAAGUAAAUGACUUUACUCCAGGAUUUGUCACACUGCUUCUGUUCGUUGCAGUAACUCCAGCUAAAUACCCUUUAAAUGAUUUAGAGGUUACUCAUAAGGCAAUGCUGGCACAUGCUAUAUCUAAGCCAGAAACUCUAGGUGAAUUUUUAACAUAGGCCUGACAAUGUAAACCUAUUACUAGUUGGCAGCAAGCAUGAAAGAUUCCUCUAAAAAUAAGAGAUCUAAUGUCAAACCAACGAGAGUUCAUACUGGGGCAUGAAGGUGUCUGAUCAGUGAAUUCAGAGCUAGCACUCAAUGCAUAAUUGCUACCUGGAAUAAGUGUGCUAACUGUUCCUCUCUAUUCUAAGCGUUAACCACUCUUCUUCCUAACCAUUAUAUCUGCAUUCCGCUAAGAAAAAGUCAUAGAGACGUUUUGUCAUUCAGUGCUUCUGCUCAUUUAUCUUGCGACUCUCUUUGAGUAUUUCCAAUGCCUUUUUAGCACCACACCAGAAAAUCUUCACACAUCUAGACAGCUAAAGAGAAAAUGAGAAUUAAUAGCAAUUUUCUUUUUGCCUAGGCUGAAAAAAAACCCAGAAGGCUGUACAAUAUAGCAAGAUGAGUAAGUAUGAGCCCAAAGGGAACAAAGCAUGAAUUGUCAUAUUUUUCGAGAUAGUGUGCUGUAGGGGACAAAAUAAAUAAAGAAAUAAAAGUCUGUGAAUAU